GAACGCACCUUGCGCCCUUUGGCCAUUCCGAAGGGCAUGCCUGUUUGAGUAUCAUGAACACCUCAACUCUCAUGGCUUGCCAUGAUGAGCUUGGACUUUGGGGGUCUUGCUGGCCUGUGGUCAGCUCCUCUCAAAUGAAUUAGCUUCCCAGUGUUUGGUUGGCAUCACAGGUGUGAUAACUAUCUACGCUUGUGGUUUCCACCAGGUAACCUUCAGUAACAUGGGGGUUCGCUGGAGCUCAUAAAUGUCUCUCUUCAGUGGGGACAGCUUUUUGAACGUUUGAUCUCAAAUCAGGUAGGACUACCCGCUGAACUUAAG
rnacentral:misc_RNA from 1 species